rnacentral:rRNA from 1 species
UACAGAGGGGGCAAGCAUUGUUCGGAAUUACUGGGCGUAAAGGGCUUGUAGGCGGCCAACUAAGUCCGACGUGAAAUCCCCAGGCUUAACCUGGGAACUGCGUCGGAUACUGGAUGGCUUGAAUUCGGGAGAGGGAUGCAGAAUUCCAGGUGUAGCGGUGAAAUGCGUAGAUAUCUGGAGGAAUACCGGUGGCGAAGGCGGCAUCCUGGACCGACAUUGACGCUGAGGAGCGAAAGCUAGGGGAGCAAACGGGAUUAGAUACCCCGGUAGUCCUAGCCCUAAACGAUGAAUGCUUGGUGUGGCGGGUAUCGAUCCCUGCCGUGCCGCAGCUAACGCAUUAAGUGCCCCGCCUGGGGAGUACGGUCGCAAGAUUAAA